GUCUGCAGAUGUCACCUGGAACAGUCCCCAGCCAGUACAGAGGAUAAGAGAAUCACUGUAUGUCGGGAGAGGCGGCAGGGCAGACAAACAGCUUGCCUAGGUGGGAUUCACUGAGGAAGCAGAUGGCAUCUGGGGCCGAGUGUGAUGGUGAUUACGCUGCGGAAGGGUGAUAAUUUAUUCCGCUCAGCUGGCUGAGAGUUGGAAGGAGGUGAGAUUGCACCUGUCCCUUUGUGCAAGACGGACAAAAGACACCGAGGCCACCUGAUGAAGUGGUCAAGAAGACAUCGAGUGGGGUGUAAGCCUUGUAUGCACUUAAAUUUGAGCCCCCGUGCUUCCUUUAGCGGGCUGUGUAGCUCUCAGGAGGUCGUGUGCACUCUGAGGUGCAGUUCCCCCUGUGUUUAGCUUGGAUCUCCUUCUGAAGGUGAAGCCAGAGCCCACAUAGGUCAACUGUCAGAAGAGCCCCAGGGCUCAAGGUUGCCCCAUAUAGCUUAUUGUUGGAAGAUGAAACUUCCAGGCCAGAUGCCCCCUGCUGUGGUCUUGGGAAAGAGGAAGGAAAAAUGCAUUAGGACAUGAAAUUUUGGACAGGAGUGCCUGGUGUUCUGAGGCGGUGCUCAGCUCUUCAGGACUCAGGGGGGUUGCUGACAGACUGG